ACCCCGGCGGGCAUCGGAGGCAAACUGACCCAGUCUGCCACACCAGCAGUAACAGGCCACUCCGUGCUCUUGCGGACACAGUUGAAGCAGGCAAGCAGCAGCCGCCGCCGCCAGCAGAGCGAGGCGGGGAGCAGAGCAUACCGGUGAGGCGAGCGCCCGGCGUCUUAAGCGAAGGCAAGUGCGGCUGAUCUGAUCCCUCCUUCCCUCCCGCUGCAGUCCACAGGGGGGGGGGGGGGGGGUGACCGGGGGGAACGGGCCAACGGGGCCCCGGUCGCCACGGAGGAAGCGGGGAGGGGGAAGGGCUGCGGCUUGCUCAAAGUCGCUGUGGCGCGCGGCCGCAGCCUCGCCGUCAGGGACUUCACCUCCAGCGACCCGUACGUCAUCGUCCGCGUCGCCGACACGACUGCAAAGACAAAAGUCAUCAACAGUUGCCUAAAUCCAGUUUGGAAUGAAGAGAUGACAUUCUCCAUGAAAGAACCAGUAGGAGUCAUCAAAUUUGAGGUGUUCGACUGGGACCGGUUCAAGUAUGACGACAAGAUGGGGCACGCUUUCCUGGACCUGCAGCCUGUGGCAGCAGCGACAAAGCUGCGGCGAGCGCUGCGGCUCACGGCAGGAGAGACCAAGCUCCGGAAGGUAGCCCUUGAUGUCGACAACUGCCUGCUCUCCGAUAGCUUCGUGAUGUACGCCAACGGGGAGGUUGCGGUAGACGCCUGGCUGCGACUGCGUGACGUCGAGUCUGGUGAGUUGUUCAUCACGGUUAAGUGGAUCGAAGCUGAAAACACAAAAUGAUCACAACCCAGGAGACCAUUAGCGUUGCAUUUUACUUGCAACAAUAGAUGAGGUGACGUUGUUGUAGGGGUGGUUCUCUUGUUGUGCCCAUAUGUGAUUUAUCAGUGGUAUUUCUUCUUUCCUUGUGUGGUGCACUGUCUGACCUGAGUGUAAAUUUUCCACGGUUCUUAACAGAACAAGUAGCGUCUUGCUCGCAAAAAAAAAGUAUGCCAAAUGGGCAUGUUCUGAUCUUUCUAUGUGUUGGGGACACCACCUUCGGGCCGGUCGCCGAAGGCGCGCGAAGACAAGACGUCAGGAGCAAUGAAGCCGAUGUCAAGAGCAAGCGCGGAGAUGGCCCAUCACGUGGGUCCUCGGGUCGGAAGACGAAGACAGGCGAAGACCGGGCGACACAAGUGUCCUGACGAGGAGUGGUCAGUGGGCCCCCACGGUCUUCGUCGAUUAGGUCGAAGAGGGCUGCCUGGAGUUGUGGGCUCUUCUGAGCUGUACCGCACGUAGGCUGGGAUUUAGAAAUCACGUGUACGUCCGGGAAUAUGACCGUUGUAAGGGUGCAAAAGAAUAAUUGUACAUUGGAGGCGUAACGCCACCUAUAAAUACCCCCUGUAAUGUUCAUUGAUGAGACACAUUGAAUAGAGAGAGAACAUUUACUGCCUGAAUUGUGUGCUUGUUCCUUAAUGUUGUAGUGUCCGUCCAUUCCGGAGACGCUCUCCACCAAUAGUUUGGCGCCCACCCGUCGGUUCGAUACACCACAUGGCGGCGACGAAGAAGAGAGGAACCACCGGAGCCACUUCGGAGGACACGACGACGACAACACCCUCGCAGGGCGAAGUGGCAGCAACACAGAUGAACGGGACUACCAGCGACGGCGUCUCUGUCGACGCCCUUGCAGAUGGCCAGCUUGAAGUCAACCUUCUGGACCUCGGCGUCUCAGCCGAAGACAUCGCGGCGAUGCGUCGCAUCAACGCUCGCAUCGAAGAGGCGCGAAGGGCUCAGCAGCAGGCCUUGGAAGCAUAACCUUUGGAGCCACAGAUGACGACAAGAGCGAAGGGGAAGCAGACCAUGCUCACCGAAGCAGAGCGUCAAGAGCAGUACAACAAGUUGAGGGUGGAGGAGCUUCGCUGCAAGAGAAGCUCCGUGCCCAGCUGCUGCAGCUCGAGAAAUUGCAGGCACCACUACCACCACCACCGCAGAAGGAGAUGAUCGGGGUCAACCCGCGACAACAAGAACCACCAAGGUUCCGCCCGAAGUUCGUGCCAGUUGAGGAGAUCUCUGACCAUUCUGAGUCAGACGGCGAAGAGCCUUACCGAAGAAGGCACAAAAAAAUAUCACCACUGUCCGAAGAGCUGGAGGAAGUGCAGUGGCCUCAUCGCCUCAACCCAGCAAUAUUGCCGCAGUUCGAUGGGGAAUCAGACCCCGAAGAGUUCCUCCUCAAAUACGAAGCCACCAUAGAAGCAUCGGGAGGAGGCACCGCGUGUAAAGCGAAGGCGCUCGUCCUCGCAUUGAAGGGCUUGGCGCAGCGUUGGUAUGCAAACAUCCCUUCAGGAAUCAUUCUGUCUUGGAAGUAGCUUCGCUUCGAACUAUGUGCAAGUUUCCGCGCGGUGAGGCCCGACGAAGUCACAUCCUGUGAUUUUCACGAUCUGAGGCAAGGAAGUAUGACCUUGCAAGAAUAUCUUCAGAGCGUCAUGAAGCUUCGCACAAGAGCACCCAAUGUCGCCGACCAGAGCAUCAUCGACUCUGUGGUGAAGGGAAUCAACUUAGGACCAUGCGGAGAAUACAUAUCUCGGCGCAAGCCGAAGACAGUGACAAAGUUGUUCGAGAUAAUGCAAAAAUAUUGCAUAUCCGACCGGGCGAAGAGGAGAAGGCUCGAGGAGAAGAACGAGCAGAAGUCGCGAAGCAGUGAGAGGUCCCAUUCAAAACCAUGGCAUGCUGGCAAACCAAAGCAGAAAAGAACAGUGAAGAAGAACCCCCCCCGAGAGCAGAGACACCAUCACAGGGGCAAAGGCGAGAGGGACCGCCACGAAGAAAGGUCCAACGGCGAUGAUCGUCACCAUCGCGAAGAACGACACAACAAAGGCCGAAGAAAGAAAAUUCCAUUCUGUUUCUUCCACAGGAAGGACAAAGGCCAUUGGACAAAUGAAUGCCCCUUCGCCAUUGAAAGAAAAGAAGAGUUUGACCGGCAGAAUUCCCAGCCAGCGAAGCCAGUCAAUCAUACCUCGCAGUUGCCACCUCAGUCUUCGGCAACGGCAACCACUUGGGCUCCUACGCCAAAUUGGCCGGUGUUAUACCCGGUUUUCAAUUACAACCCGUUACCAUAUGCACCACCUCCGCAACAAUCAAUACCAAUGCUACCACCUCCGCAGUACAGUCAGACAUGGUCCAGAAGCUCAACACCAUUGUCUUGCGACACAACUCUACCUCUACCUCCGAAACUUGAGCCGGGGCAGAUUCCAGAGCGAGCAAUCGAUGCACCUUCGGGCAGCAGGGUGAACAUCAUCAACGCCAUCUCCGGAGGAUCUAAUGAACCAGUGCUUGAGACAAAGAGGCAGCGCAAGGAGUACUUCAGAACAGUUUCUCAUGUCAGCGAGGGUAAAUGCUUCCGAACAACUUGGUCGCAUGUCCCGAUAUCCUUCACACAGGCAUACCUUCGGCUGCAACACUACCCACACAAUGACCCUCUUGUCAUCAGGGCCAACAUCGGCAAGAAUUCAGUGCACUUCGCAGGGAACGAUGUAGGGAGAAUACUGGUGGACAAUGGGAGCUCCGCAGACAUCCUCGUAUGGCAGUGCUUUGUAAAAAUGGGUUUAACAGAAACAGCCUUGCAUAAGUCACCGUAUCUGCUCAUUGGCUUCGGAGGCAAGAGAAUAGAAGCUCUUGGCAAGAUAGAGCUCAAUGUCACAUUCGGCGAAGGAGCAGCACAAAGAACCGAAGCAAUAACCUUCGAUGUAGUUGACAUCAACUACCCAUAUAACGCCAUCUUCGGGCGCAACACCUUGGUCAAAUUUGCAGCAGUGAUUCAUCAAUCCUAUUUAUGCAUGAAGUUACGUUCGGCCGGGGGAAUUAUCACAGUCUUCGGCAACCAGGAAGAAGCAAGAAGAUGCGAAGACAAUGCAUCAAUUGGCAACAAGAAUGUUCAUGUCAUUGAAACACCAAAUGAGGUCAAUGAGGCUGCAAACAGCGAAGAGCCGGAGAAGUCAGGAGGGGUAUCCCCGGCGUAACACACGAAGGUCUAUUGUGUGAAGAUGUGCCCGACCGAAUGGUGAUCAUCGGAAAAGGGCUUGAAGAGGCUGAAGAAGCCAGGCUUAUACAGUUUCUCCGCAAUAAUCAAGACGUGUUUGCUUGGUCCUCUUCGGACCUGCGAGGGAUCAGUCGAGAGGUCAUCGAGCAUGAGCUCAGGGUGAACCCGAAGGCAAAACUAGUAAAGCAGGGACAAAGGUCAAUGUCCGAAGAAAGGCAGAAGGUGGCUCAGGCCGAGGUACAAAAAUUGUUGGACGCGGGCGUCAUCCACGAGGUCCAGUAUCCGGAGUGGCUAGCAAAUGUUGUCAUGGUACCGAAGAAGAACGGGAAGUGGCGAAUGUGCAUUGACUUCACAAUCUUGAACAAGGCGUGCCCAAAGGACGAAUACCCACUACCACGAAUCGACACCCUGGUCGAUGCAGCAGCUUGCUCGGAGAUGCUCAGUAUGUUGGACUGUUUCUUGGGUUAUCACCAGAUAUUCAUGAACAAGGCAGACGAGAAGACCAGUUUCACCACCCCCUUCGGGACAUACUGCUACGUGAGAAUGCCUGAGGGUCUGCGCAAUGCCGGAUGCACUUUCAACAGAAUGAUCAAAAAAGUAUUGGGGGAUCAAUUGGGGAGAAACAUCUCCGCAUACGUUGAUGAUGUGGUUGUGAGAAGCAAAAAGGAGGAGGAUCAUAUCCAAGAUCUUCGCGAAACAUUUGCGAAUCUUCGUCACCAUGGCCUCAAGCUGAACCCGGAGAAAUGUGUCUUCGGCGUGCGAAGAGGCAAACAUCAAGCCCUCAAUUGACACAAUCGAAGCUGGCAAGAUACAAGUAGCAAUCAACAUGAGAAAAUAUCAAGAGGAAACACGAAGGUGGAAGAACAAGAAAGUGAAGCCUAGAAACAUCAAAGAGGGCGACUUGGUGCUUCGAAGAAUACCGAAGGCCAAGCAAAAUGGCAAGAUGCACAGCAAGUGGGAAGGCCCAUUUAUCGUCGCAUCUAUGGCAAGGCCAGAGGCCUGCAGGCUCCGCAUGCUAGAAGGCACCGAAGACCCUUAUUCAUGGAACAAGGACAUGCUACAGAAGUACUACGUGUAGAAAAUGUGUAAGAGCUACCGGAGGAAAAUAACCGAAGGGGCUUGUAGGGCAAAUUCUUUUUCUUUUUUUUUGCGUCUUUCCUUUUUUCUCAUGUGUAAAUCCGCACAAUGUACCGAAGGGCCCGUACUCUUUUCCUUACGGGGAAGGUUUCGAGUGUCCACUCGGGCGCUGAAGGUGUGAGGUUUUUAACGAGGCGGAACCCUAUGUAACCCCUUGUGAAAUAUAAACAAGGCCCCCACAAAAAAGUCUCGAAGGAACGAGCACGCUGCAAAGGCGCCGAAGCGUCUAUCCUUCUUCGUCAAAGCGAAGAGGGGAGUCAUCGGCGCGAAAUACAAGCCAUAACGCUUGAAAGAAGUAAGCACGAGGCGCAACCCCGAUUAAGGGCUUCGCUCCUCUUAGCUUCACUUCCGGAGAAAUUAACAAAAUCCCGUCGCAUGAAAGCGAAGGGUGGAAAGUCCUGUCGCACGAAAGCCGAAGGCUAGGCGCGAACCUCUCCUGCUAAAGAGCCGAAGGUCCCCUAACAAAAUCCCGUCGCAUGAAAACGAAAGGUGGAAAGUCCUGUCGCGCGAAAGCCGAAGGCUAGGCGCGAACCUCUCCGGCUAAAGAGCCGAAGGUCCCCUAACAAAAUCCCGUCGCAUGAAAGCGAAGGGUGGAAAGUCCUGACGCGCGAAAGCCGAAGGCUAGGCGCGAACCUCUCCGGCUAAAGAGCUGAAGGUCCCCUAACAAAAUCCCGUCGCAUGAAAGCGAAGGGUGGAAAGUCCUGCCGCGGGAAAGCCGAAGGCUAGGCGCAACCCUCUCCGGCUAGAGAGCCGAAGGUCCCCUAACAAAAUCCCGUCGCAUAAAAGCAAAGGGUGGAAAAUCCUGUCGCGUGAAAGCUGAAGGCAAAGGCGUGCAUAAUUAAAACAAUAGGCCGGAGGGGCUAAAGCACGUUUCACAGUCAUCAUCCACGCCAGUCGAGCGAAGUGGGGUGGUGUUUCGCAAAACAAAAAACACGCACGAUGCCGGUAAAGAUGAACGAACAAAAUGGCGUUUGUAACCUCGCCCGCACAAAGGGGGGUGGCGCUUCGCAGAAUAUAUUUGUGCACAGUCGAAGGAUAAACGCCAAAAAAUUUCAUAAUUUAUUACACACAAAGUACAGGUUUAUUACACCGCGAAGAUACACUUCGCACGAAGGCACGAAUAAAUAAAUUACAUAGUUACAUCCGAGGCCUCUUCCUCGAAGACUAGGCGGUCCACCUCAGAUAUGAUUUCCUGGACCGCCACAUCUAUUAUUUCUUCGGCUGUCCGUCGAAGAAAUGCUUCGAAGUCGUCCCCUGAAACCGAGGGCAACGUAAAUUAACUAGAGCUCUCGACGAAGAUGCCUUUGCGUCGGUACAUAAAUUCAUGAGGCGGAAGGGGCUCCUCGUCCACCGGCUCCGGCUUCGGCUCACGGAGACCGGCGGGAGCACUAUACGGUCUAUCAGUAUCGAGAAUCCGUUUUAUUUCGCGACGAAGCGCGCGAUCAGCAAGGAUCUUCGCGUGUUUUUCCGGAUCACGCUGAAAUUCGGCAAAAAAACGCUUCGCAUCGGCGUUCCAAAGGUCGUAAACACGCAUCCUAUCCGCCCAGAAAUCUUCAAAUGAAACCGAAGGGUAACGAAUAUGGAACUUUGCCCAGGACGCACCAACGACAUAGAAAUCCUCUCGAUUCAGCUUGCGAGGAAGCACGUCCUCGGUCACCUGCGCAGGGGCCAACGCAGGGUCCUGCGCAGGCACAGAAGAUGUUAGCUUACAAAAGUAAUAAUUACAACCAGAAGACCCCUACACAACAGCCUACAACGACCCUCACACCUCGCCAGCCGAAGGACGAGAGGAGGACGCCCCUGUCCGGCCUUCGGGCGCCGGGGCUCUGUCAGUAGCGUCUCGGCCGUUUUCGCCAUUCGCACCCUCGCCACCAGGUCCUUCUUCGGCAGACACAGCUUCAUGGAGGAUGGGCUCCGCGAUGGUGUCAGCCUUGGCCUGGAGCUGAAAGAUGCCAACUAGAAGUCAGCAGGUUUUCUGUAAAAAAAAACGCAGAUAAUCAUCUGGGGCUUCAUCCGCUCGACUUCACGUUGUACAAGGGCACGACCUUCGCCCUUGAAGAAGCGCUCCAUGAAGCUGACGGCGAUGUUUUUCGCCAAAGCCGGCAGCGUCUCCGGACAAACAGUUUCCUCGCUCGGCCAGCGGACGGAGGAAUCACGAUGGGAACGAAGUUAGCCUUCGUCGUCACCACGCUAGCCUGCCCAGCUUCGGAGGGAAAAAGACUGUACACUGCGGCACUGAGAGUACGGACGGCGACCAUGGCACUGAUAUCUUCAUGGAAAUGUGCCCCAGCGUCCAGCAUGGCGACGCAAGCGUGAAGCCACUGGAAAAAAGGAGCCCAGGCCAACUGUGUCGGUGCCUUCCGGAAACAUAUCCGGAGCCACAAGCCCAUACCGGGCGAGGAGGUCAGGAAGCUCUUCCUGCAACUUCUCCGAACCGGUCUUUAUAGCCUCUUUAAAAAUGCGAAGCCGUCUUUGCAUCCAAUCUCGACGUUUUUCAGCGUCUUCAGCAAGCAACUUGGCGGCCUUCGCGGCGUCCUCCGCCUUCACCGCCCGAUCAGCGGAUGCAAGCAGCUCCGUGGUAAGAGUCGCCUUCGCCUCAGCAGAUCUGGCGAGGCGCGUCUGCAGCUCUGUUUUCUCCUUUUCCAGAGAGGCCACCUUCGCCUCCAGAUCAGCAACAACAGCCUUUGAGCUGUCCUCAGCCGCCAACUGCCGGGCAGCACAGCGCGCAGCCACGAAGGCCUUCAGCGACAAGUCUUGGGCGCUCUCUAGGAUGUUAUUUAGCCCGCUCCCCAUCAAGUCUUUUUCCAUGAGGGGGAAGCAUAAGGAGUCCCCCGCCGCUUCUAAAAGCCCACAUUCGCGGUCCCGGCUCUCAAAACGAAGAGAUUUGACGAUGUUCCCGCCGAAGCACACAGCAGUGGGCUUCGUACCGAGUUCCAUAGCAACAGCUUCAGGAUCAGCGUCACGAACGAAGAAGCUACUGCUUUCCGACGAACUGCUGGAGUCUCCGCCGCCACUCUUUCGCCCCGGAGGAGGACGUGGACUUCUCGGGGAGGAUGAGGCUUCGGCGUUUUUCUCGGAAGGAACUUCGGCUUCUUUGCUGGAGGUAGUAGCUCCGUGUGGAAGAGACGAGCGGCGGGGGGUGUUGACCACGACGUUGACCUCCUCGACGUCGCCCUCGUCUUUGCUCUCCUGGGCGGUGCUGAACUCAAGGUCCAGGCCGGGAUGGACCGCCCUCAGUGGCACCGCCACCUGUUGAAUGCCGAGGGGCAUUGCCUCGGUAGGAGGAAGGUUGCUGUCUUCGCUCCCGCCAUCUUCGGAUUCCCCCUUACUUUGCAGGGGAGACUGAUGCAAGAUGGCGUCGAUGAGCCAGCUUUUCUUUUUCGGCUCUGCGGACGAAGACGCUUGCUUCCGCUUCGCCUUUUCCAGAGCCUUCGCCUUCUCCGGGCCGCCCUGGCCUUUAGCAAGCUUCAACUCGGCCCCCCGCUGAGGAGCGGAGAGGCCCAACGCGUGGAACACCCGGUUCCGUUGAGCCCCGCUAAGAUGACCAACGAGGGCUUUGUACUCGUCCCUUGACACUGACCCGACCAUCUCGUCGACCCGGCUCUCGAUGACAACAGGGUCCACCUCUGCAUCGCCGAAGAGGCAAAAAGUGUAAGCAAAAGAGCGAAGCGUGCACCUCCAUAACAUGAGUUUAAGUACGAAAACUCACGGUCGGUUCGAAGGCUGAAGACGGUUGCGAAAUCAGGUACCGGAAUACCUUCGAUCCAGCGGUCCUCGGCCAACCAGCUGGAGAUGUCCCAGCCGACCCUGACGGGAAAGCAGCUGCAAGCGACGAACUCUUCGAUGAUGUCGCGUGUGCUGAAGGUCUUCGAUAGUUUCCGCAGCAGGGCAAGAAGAACCUCGUCUUCGACCCGGACAUGACAGGCGGCCUUCGGCACAUCGCCAAGAGCAGCAAUGCGGUCGACGAUGAGGGGAUGGGUCUUCAUGACGGAGUCCAAUGUCACCUUGUGAUAGAACCAGUACGAGGACCAAUCGUUGGCCACUUGUUCCUGCUCGCGGGGACUGGACUCGGGAGGUUCUUGUGAAAGGCGAAGGUAUAACAGCCAUAUUGGGGAAUGACUGAUAUCUCCGCACCUCCGGUUGAUUCCACAGAAAUCUUCUUCGGUUGGUAAUGUUAGAACUAACUUGACAUGGCUGUGUGUGCGUUGUGUGCGUCGUGUAUGUGUGUGUGUCAAACGUGUGUUGCCGAGUCAGCCGUGAGCUGCAGAGGAGCUGCAGCCAUGGUGGAGUCCGACCGCGGCGUGGCGCGUUCCAGGUUGUAGGGCGUCGAGCUCGUGAGCAGGUGUACUGCGGUGGGCUCGGCCGGUGUCAGUGAGGGGGCGGUGUGUGUGGCGCCGACUUGCAUGGAGGUAGCCGCGUCGUCCGGGCGAGCGAGUGGCUCACGACGACGUGAGCGGGUCCUGCGGGUCAUGGCGUGAAUGGCGGGCGUGGAGGUUAGCUCCGUGGCGACCCAACCUAUUAGUAGCCCGUUCUCCUCCGUGACUUGCUGCUGGAGUCAUUUUCAGUUUCAAUCAAAGGCCAGCCAACAUACAGGCGAGUUGUCGCCGGGGCGUUCGUCGCCAGUUUUUUUCUAGUGUCUACUGUUCAUCUUCUUCCUUGGUCUGCUAGCGUGUGUGAGAGCUUGAAUGAGCAAGGGAGAGUGCAAGAGCGUGGAACGCGUGUUCCAGGGCAGCGCCAACAAGUGGCAUCAGAGCCGGUGAAGCCCGGAGGUAGUCAUGGCCGGUGAUAGCAGUCCCCCGCGUCCUUCUUCGCCCAAGAGGCCGAAGUUCGACGGCAGUAGCGGCAGCGGCGCACGCGAGGUCGUCGUGGAGCGCAUCGUCUCCAACUCCGGCGUUGUUGAGGUGCCGCAGCUGAUGAGGACCAACUACCACGAGUGGUCUUUGGUCACGCAGGUGAACCUCGAGGCGUUGGAACUCUGGGAUGCUGUGGAGGUGGAGUGCAAGGACGGGCGUUGGCCGCCAUCCUGCGCGGGGUGCCGCCGGACAUGAAGUCUCGCCUCGCCAAAAAGAAGUCCGCGAAGGAAGCGUGGGCGGCCUUGAAGGAGAUGAGGGUCGGCGACAAUCGCGUGAAGUCUUCGGUCGUGCAGCGGCUCGUGAUGGAGUUCGAGAACAUCACGCUCCGUGACAGGGAGUCCGUCGACGACUUCGCGAUGCGCGUCAUCGGGCUCGUCGACAAGCUAGGCGAGCUUGGCGAGGAGAUGGAGGACAGCCGCGUGGUGAAGAAGAUGCUGCGCGUGGUCCGGAAGAGGUACAAGCAGGUAGCGGUGUCGAUCGAGAUGCACUCCGACCUCAACAAGAUGUCAGUGGAGGAGCUUAUCGGCCGGCUGUGCGUGGCAGAGGACGCCGACGCUGAGGAAGCCGCGGACGGCAUCGAGAAGGGCGUCCAGCAGCUGCUCCUCACCGAGGAGCAGUGGGAGGCGCGGCGCCAGCGCGGCGGCGCCAGCGCGGCGGCAAGGAGCGGGCGCGCGGCGGCGGCAGCGGCCAUGGAGGCGAUCGUGACGAGGACGACCACAACAGCACGUGCUCAGGGGCAAGCGGGCGUUCGGGGCGCCGCAACCGAGGGAGGUGCUUCAACUGCGGAGAGCGCGGCCACGUCGCCAAGUAUUGCCCCAAGGUGUACGACGGCAAGGCGCUGAUGGCAGAGGCCGAUGAGGAGCCGACAUUGCUGUGAGCAGAAGGACUUGCCAUGUCAAGCUUAGGGGGGUGAUUGUUAGAACUAACUUGACAUGGCUGUGUGUGGGUUGUGUGCGUCAUGUAUGUGUGUGUGUCAAACGUGUCGCCGAGUCAGCCGUGAGCUGCAGAGGAGCUGCAACCAUGGUGGAGUCCGACCGCGGCGUGGCGUGUUCCAGGUUGUAGGGCGUCGAGCUCGUGAGCAGGUGUACUGCGGUGGGCUUGGCCGGUGUCUGUGAGGGGGCGGUGUGUGUAGCGCCGACUUGCAUGGAGGUAGCCGCGUCGUCCGGGCGAGCGAGUGGCUCACGACGACGUGAGCGGGUCCUGCGGGUCAUGGCGUGAAUGGCGGGCGUGGAGGUUAGCUCCGUGGUGACCCAGCCUAUUAGUAGCCCGUUCUCCUCCAUGACUUGCUGCCGGAGUCAUUUUCAGUUUCAAUCAAAGGCCAGCCAACAUACAGGCGAGUUGUCUCGCCAGUUUUUUUUCUAGUGUCUACUGUUCAUCUUCUUCCUUAGUCUGCUAGCGUGUGUGAGAGCUUGAACGAGCAAGGGAGAGUGCGAGAGCGUGGAACGCGUGUUCCAGGGCAGCGCCAACAGGUAAUGCACCCUGAAGGCACGAGCGAAGCCUUCGGCGCUUGGAGAAAGGCGGCAGGUCUUCGCCAGCCACAUAUACAGGUUCAGCCGCACGAUUGAAGUAGGUGUCAUUUGAUGUCAGUACACCUUGAACAGUUGAAAAAUGUCCACCACCACGGGGUCCAAGGGCAUCCGAGGCCGGCGGUGAACAAGUCACGGAAGACAACCACUUCGUCGUUGCGGGGAUGAGCAACAGUCUCACCCGUCGGAGGAGCGCGGACAUCGUCAGCAGAGACGAAGCCUCGACGAGCCAAGUCGUCGAGGAGGGACGGAGUCAUUUUGGAUAAGCCAAGUACAGUGGUCGUCGGACCUCCCGAUUGAUUCCUCUUCGGAGCCAUCUCCGAAGAUGCUGAGUGUUCUGAGAGCGCCACUCUUGAAGUUCAGCACUAGAUUGGUUCGAAGAAAACGACGCUCAGAAACAACCUUCGCGAAGCGAGAAGCGAGGAGGCUGGGAAGCAAGGAUGGUGAAAAGUAAAAAGCACAGCCGUCGCGGCGCCGCUAUUUAUAGGCGGGGGGCAAGCGCGAGAAUUACCACACGUGCCACUGCGAAAUGGAAAGACGCCGAACCCCGUGCUGCACGCGUGAGAUUAAGAAACCGAGGGGUAUAUCUGUCCUUUCAGGUCUACGAGCCAGCACAAGAUUUCCCGCCAAAGUUCGAAUCUAAUGAUUUAGGCGCGAAACUAACGGUUAUGAACAUGAAAAAUUUGCUUCCUCGACAGGAGCGCAACUUUUUUACAGGUGAGCACGGACUGUGCUUCGCCGGCUACCGUCGCGGCACCCAGCCCGAAGGGUGGCGCUUCGGGACGCCGACGGCACCCAAGGAGUCGAAGCCGCGCCCCUCCCGAAGAUCGGACCGAGGCUUCGAGGGGCUAAUGUUGGGGACACCACCUUCGGGCCGGUCGCCGAAGGCGCGCGAAGACAAGACGUCAGGAGCAAUGAAGCCGAUGUCAAGGGCCAGCGCGGAGAUGGCCCGUCACGUGGGUCCUCGGGUCGGAAGACGAAGACAGGCGAAGACCGGGCGACACAAGCGUCCUGACGAGGAGUGGUCAGUGGGCCCCCACGGUCUUCGUCGAUCAGGUCGAAGAGGGCCGCCUGGAGUUGUGGGCCCUUCUGAGCUGUACCGCACGUAGGCUGGGAUUUGGAAAUCACAUGUACGUCCGGGAAUAAUCCAGGAAUAUGACCAUUGUAAGGGUGCAAAAGAGUAAUUAUACAUUGGAGGCGUAACGCCACCUAUAAAUACCCCCUGUAAUGUUCAUUGAUGGGACACAUUGAAUAGAGAGAACAUUUACUGCCUGAAUUGUGUGCUUGUCCCUUACUAUUGUAGUGUCCGUCCGUUCCGGAGAUGAUCUCCACCAACACUAUGGUUUUUGAAUUUUUAUUUGCUGAUGAUUGAUAAUCCCAGUGACCUUUGAGCUUUGAUUGACAAUGUUGUUUGUUGAUUACUACUAGAACAUUCGGCGCGCUUUGCGAUUUACGUAAGUUAAUGAAAGGAGUCAAUGAAAGGCAACAAUCUCUUGUUCUAUCUAUUUUAUAUGCAGAUACAUGUCUCAAGAAAAAUCUAUCACGAAAUCAUCACAUAUGCUAACAAAAAACAUCAACAGUCAUACAUGUUUUAUGCAUCAGGAGUCUUGUUCGGCAUCUCAAUCAUCAAACACCUGAUGAACAAACUAUCUAUAAGUGAGUGUUUGAUGAACAAACUAUCUAUAAGUGAGGCUAACGAUAAACUCUUCUAUCUAGUGCUCUUAUGUGUCUUUAUUGCAGAACCAUCAGGAGCAUCCAUGUUGAUUUUAGGGUUAGCAACCUACAGUCAAGUGUGCCAAAUAAAAGAAUUAGUAGCCAACUAGGCAAUGUAUUUGAUGCUAUUGUUGACUACCAAAAUCGGCCGUAAUCGGUCUGACCAAGUGGUCCGACCGGUGGGUCCGACCGGUCUGACCAGUUCGAAAGGAGUCCGAGUAUAAUUAGAGAUUUUUGUAGAUUUAGAUCGUAAAAGGGAUUUCUUGUGGGAUAAGUCCAUCCCACUCUGUAAAUAUAAAGGAUCACGACCGAGGCAUUCAAUCGAUCAAAAACACAUCAAUACAUUACUUUUUGUCUUCCCCCAACCCUAGCUCUUCCAACCUCCAUCUGCUAUUCUUCUUUCGUCUCCGCGACAUCUGAAGACAUUCUAGGUGGCAUGUUGAUCUUAGAACAAUCCUGCGUGCGCUUGCCCUGACGGGGUCCCUCCCGGGCGAGCGUUCGUCGGCCUUCGCCGAUUCUCACUGACGACCGGUUUUGACCGGUCCCUAAGAACGGUCUGACCGCUCCCUUAGAACGGUCUGACCGAUCCACGUAGGAGGGCUGCAUCACGCUCCUCGCACCGCGUGUUCGAGCGCAAUCGUAUGUUGGCUCGGAUUGUGCGCCAACAUAUUUUGGCAACUCCGAUGGGGAAGAAAGAUCUUGGUUAUUUAAAAACCGAUCUAAUCUACUCCAUCUACUACCAUGGUGAACUUGUCGAAUCCUAGUGAUGUUGAUGCCAGCAACAUUGUUAGGCCGACUGUCGAUGAAUUGUCGGCUGAAGAUCAUCAAGGUUAUGAAGUCCUUAUCAAGGAGUGCAAAGAGGAGAGCAUACGGUGCAAAGAGAAAGAAAUCGAAGAGAAGCGUCAGUGGUUCUUGUCUCACUUCUCCAUGAAUAGGAAAGGCGACGUUUCAAAACAAGGACGUGGUCAUUCUUUUAGAUGAAGGAGAGCAAGGCAAAGCAAACAGUAAUGUAAGUACUUCAGCAUCAUCGGUUACUUUGGAGCAAGUUAGACAAUUACUAGUUAAUGAUCAGAAGAAGAUGCUUGCUAUUGUCCAAAACAUCUCUAUCUCUAUCUCUACUACUAAAAGGAGACUAAGGGAGAUUUUUUUUGUUCGUCUUCCCACCUGCAAUCCUUUGGUCCGCCUUCGGUGCUGCCCGCUAUCUCGCCGCGCCGAUCACGCCUCAAUCUCGCCUUCCCCGUCCCGCCGCCCACUCCCCACUCCGAUCCGAUCGAAUACGUCGCCUAUGCCUACUGCUCCUGCGCCCUUUCAUCCAAUCCAAUCAACGCCGCUGCUCACCCCACUGCUUGCCUUUCCAUCCAAUCCAAUCAACGACACGCCGAACUCGACGCCGCUGCUCACCGCUGGCCAGUCACGACGCCGCUGAUGCUGCCGCCCAUGCCGAUCGGUUGAGGGCCGUCGGGUCAAGCGCCGCCGGGCGACCGCAACGCUGCUUCCGGCCGCCGACACCAUUCCGGGACGCGCCGAACUCGACGUCGCUGCUCACCGCCGGCCCCGUUGAGGGCUGUCGGGUCAAGCGCCGCCAACCGGCCGCGACGCUGCCGGGCGUCCACACGACGCUGCUCACGCGUCACCCCGCCGCAGCUGCUGCCGGCCGUGCUGAUCCGCAGGUAUGCAAAUUGACACGAUUGAUGAUGCAUAUGAUUAGUGCCAACAUGGCUAGGCAGGCGGUGUGCUUUGUAUGGGCACUACGUUGGGUUUGGUCCCUGCUUGCACCGCUGUGGAUUUUUUAUUUGAUAUUUGUCCUCCUUGACCAUGGCUCAACAUGUAAAAUGGCUUGUCUACAGUCAUAGGUCAGAUAUCAUUAUAUUUGGUCAUGUUGGUGUAUUUAUUUUCUUAUAUUUGAUCAAGUCAGUGUCGAACCCCUGCUAGCUGUCUAGGUCUUUGCUAAAAUUAUUCAUAUAGAAUUGGAGAUUGACAUAUUCUUAGAAUCCUAACAUCUGCUAUACUAUUUGACUGUCUCCAUGAAAACUGAAAAUGUCAGUUUGUGGCUUAGAAAAGAGCUGUCUGAUUUGCUGCACAUGAACAGAUGGUCGGUUAUGAGCCUGCCUGUUGUUCCACUACCUGAUUGUGCAAAUUGGGUUCAUAAUAGUUUAUUACGCUUAUUUACCAGUUUUCUUCCAUCUGUUCAUGUGAAACAACCAAGAAUUUGUUUUGGUGCCUGGAAAUUCAGUACCAGACUCAUGCAGGUUCACAUGCUUCGGUUUCUGUUGUUGGUUCUGUUAGUUCUUGGCAUUAACCAAACUUAUAGUACACACGACGUGGCCUCUGUCCUGGCUGUCCUACUUUACUUCACCCUUACUAAUUUAGCACAAAUUGGAGUUGCUGACUGAAAAUCUAUUGUAUUCUGCUGAAUUUAAUGGAAAUAUUUGUGGCAUACACAUCUUUCAUGUCUUCCAAAUAGUAACAGAAAGUUUGUAGCAUGUUGCCGUUGACUCACUUUGUUUCUGUGCAUGAUGUCUUGGUUGUAUUGCUUGCGGAUAAAGUGUCAUGUGUUUGGAUUUGUACACCUUCCAUUCCUCUAUGUUUAUCCAUUUUGUUCCCAGUUGCUGCUUUGUAAUGCUUGAUCAUUGAAGUAAACAAGAGUAUAUUUAUUUUAAUAUUUUUCACUCUAGAAGCCUAAAAGAGAAGAAAAGUUUGACUGGCAGGAUUCCUAUAAACCAAGCCUAUAAACCAUCAGUUUCUUGCUGAAACCAAAUGCUCCCACUCUUUGCCACUUCAAAUCAGCCUGGUUUAGGAUGAAACUGAUAAUUUUUCGAUGUUACUUGGUGUUGAUCCCUAAACUAGCAUUUUCGUGUCCACUGAGAUCCUCGGUACAUUUUCUACACAAUGUGGUGCCCCGCUUUCAUGUAUAGCUAACCAAGCAAUAUCCUUUCUUUCUCUUAGUCCUGCUCACCCUGUCUACAUCUGUGCAAGCCUUUCACUGAGACUUUGGGGUAUUAAUUUUCCCAUUAUUGAAGGUGUUCUGUUUGUAGCUGAAUUUUUCUUUUUGCUGAAAAUCUAUGUUUUUGCUGCAACCUUCUGAUUAGUAGGAAUCGAUGCAGUGGCCAUGCUACAGGAGCAUGAAGCACCAUGUAUGACUUAUUCCUAUCUGACUGGUAAAAGCCCUUACCUUCUACACACUGCAAAUCACCUUGUUUUGGGAGUAACUGUUUGUAUUUAGUGUCAAUUCAUGAAAAUUAUUUUUAUCACAGUCACCGACUUUCAGGUCAUCUGCUGAUCUGACGAUGUUAUUUUUGUUGUCUACAACGUGUGAUCUCAGAUGGAUCCUCUGAAUAAUACUAAAGUUACUCCUCUGAAUAAUACUACAGGUAGUAUUCUUUUGUCCCGCUUCACAGUUUAUCUUCUCAGCGUACAAAACAGGAAAGAAGACCCGGUGCUGCCCCAGUAACAGAUGAGCUAAGGGAGGAGAAGAACAGAAAGAGUGAGGCGUAUCACCGUCAAAAAUUUAGUGCUCCCUCGAUGACAGAUGAGCAAAUGGAGGAGAAGAACAGAAAGCGGCGUGAAGCAUAUAAGAGGAAAAAGAGUCAUGCACUCAACAAGGAAAAUGAUCUAGUGGGUGGAGUCAUGGCUGAACAUUCAAUGGAUUCGGAUGAUAAAAAAUUGACUCCCUUGAAGUCAGUUGAUACAAAUAUUGUACUAAGCAAAAAGAGGCAUAACAGUGAAAAUGAUCCAGGUUCGGAUUCGCUCGAAGGAGGGCAUGAUAAAAUAUUAACUCCCUUGAAGUUAGUUGAUACAAAUAUUGUAAUGAACAAAAAUAGGCAUAACAAUGAAGAUGAUCCAGGUUUGCA